CCUAUAACCCCAACUGUUGGUAUACCUUUUCCAUAUUGUUAUCCAAUCUUAUGCCAUCCGCUUCUAUUGGAGGCAAUCGCUGACACCAUAGGUGCCCGCCGCCAUCAAUUCAGUUCCGCCACCAUUGCGGAGUGAGCCCCACCAUACACUGAUUAUAUUCACCACCUUCCUUUGCCUUAAUGAGCCUCUAAGAGGGGAAGAUAUAAAAAACAAAAUAACAUAGGAGAGGAUGAAGAAACAAAGAAAAAGAAAUAAAAAUGAAGGAGAUGAAAAAUAAAAAUAGAAAUGGAAAAGAUAAUUACCCGUUCUUAGAACCACCGUGAUAAUAGUAAGGUCAUAGUUCGAUUCGUCUCUAACUUCUCUGAAAAUGAGAAGAAGGUCUACGACGAACACCAUCUAUAAGCUAUUAGUUUCAUUGAAUUAAAAUAAUCAUAUAUUUCAAAUACUUUAAAAUCAAUGAAAAUCAAACUCAACCAAAUCGAUGUUUUCAAAAUCAGCUGAACUAAUCAAUUAAUUUUCAAAUCAAAACUACGUAGUCUUGAUUUCCCUAUUGCACCUAGAGAUACGUAGGAGGAAUAUAAACUCUUGUCAAACACAAAAACAAAAAAUAAAACGUUUUGCAUUAGUAAUUGAAUUUUCAAUGAAUAUGUUUAAGGUUAUAAAAGUCCAUAUGAUUAGUGAGCGUACCAUUUUAGUACGGGCGGAUGGAGUGUUAAUACUUUCUCCGAUCCAUAAUCGACUCCCGAGCUCAUAACUCUUGUUCAAAGGACCAUUUUCUCCAAUUCGAGCAUCAAGAGCAUUUUCUACGUUUUAACAUCAAAAAAUGUAGUGGCGACUCCAUAUCAUUGGGAGAAGUAGAAGUCAUGUUCGCCUCCUCCUAAGUUGCAGACACGAUCUUCCAACUGAAUAUAAGAUCGUGAGAAGCCCCAUAUUUUAAAUGAUGCAUCAAAACUGAAUUCUUUGAUGUUAUUAAAGCUAGUGGUUC
rnacentral:lncRNA from 1 species